rnacentral:rRNA from 1 species
AUUGAACGCUGGCGGCAGGCCUAACACAUGCAAGUCGAACGAGUGGCGGACGGGUGAGUAAUGUCUGGGAAACUGCCUGAUGGAGGGGGAUAACUACUGGAAACGGUAGCUAAUACCGCAUACCAUCGGAUGUGCCCAGAUGGGAUUCGCUAGUAGGUGGGGUAAAGGCUCACCUAGGCGACGAUCCCUAGCUGGUCUGAGAGGAUGACCAGCCACACUGGAACUGAGACACGGUCCAGACUCCUACGGGAGGCAGCAGUAGGGAAGAUUGCACAAUGGGCGCAAGCCUGAUGCAGCCAUGCCGCGUGUAUGAAGAAGGCCUUCGGGUUGUAAAGUACUGUCAGCGGGGAAGCGUUACCCGCAGAAGAAGCAACGGCUAACUCCGUGCCAGCAGCCGCGGUAAUAC